GGGAGAAGAAGAAGAGAAGUUGAGGGAGCAGUGGGGCGUGGGGAGAAGAAGAAGAGGGAAAAGAAGAGAUUAGAAGAAAAGAAGAAGAAGAAGAAGAAGAGAGGGAGGAUGGAGAGGAGAGAGAGAGAGGCAGCAGCUGCAGCUAGGGCUGCAGCAGCACCUCUGUUUCCCGCAGGUGGAAACAGAGGAGAGGAUGUGUAGGGCGUUGGGGAGGAGAAGGGAAGAAGAAGAAGAAGAAGAAGAAGAAGAAGAAGAGAGGAGGAUAGCUGUGGCAAGGCUGCAGCGAGGAGGUGUGUGGCGUUGGGGAGGAAAAAGGAAGAGGAGAAGAAGAGAAGGAGAAGAAGAGGGAAAAGAGAGGGAAGAGGGAGAGGAGCGAGAGGUGGCAGCAGCUAGGGCUGCAGCACCUAUGUUUCCGGUAGGUGGAAACAGAGGAGAGGUGUGGGGCGUUCGAAGAGGAGAAGAAGAAGAAGAGGAAGAGAAGAGGAAGAGGAAGCAGGAGAAGAGGUUGUGAUACCUCUGUUUCCUGCAGAGGAAACAGAGGAGAGGGUGUGUGUGAUGCCGGGGAGGAGGAGGGAAGAAGAAGAGGAGAAGAAGAAGAGAAGGGAAAGGAGGAGCUGCGACUGCGGCGGUGGAAGCUGCAGCUAGAAGAGAAGGAGAGGAAGAGAUGGUGAGGAAGAAGAGAAGAAGUAGAAGCGGGUCAAGAGGCGGCACCUCUAUUUCCUGCAGGAGGAAACAGAGGAAAGGAGGUGUUGUUUGUCGGGGAGAAGAAGAGGAGGAAGGAGAAGAAGAGAAGAAGAAGAAAGGAAGGAGAAGGAAGAGGAGAAGGGAAAGAAGUAGCUACGGCUGCGGCUGUGGCAGCUGCAGCUAUGGCAGGGAAAGAGGAAGAGGAAGGAAGAAGGGAAGGAGAGGAAGAAGAGAAGGGGAAGAAGGGGCUGCGGCUGCUGCGAUGGCAGCUGCAAUUGGAAGAGAAGAAGGAGAGGAAGAUGAGCAGGGGAGGAAGAAGAGGCUGUGGCCGUGGCUGAGGCUGCGACUGCAACAGUGCAGCUGGGAAAGAAGAGAAGGAAAGGAAGAAGAAGAGAAAGGAAGAAGGGAAGGAGAGGAAGAAGAGAAGGGGCUGCGGCUGCGGCGAUGGCAGCUGCAGUUGGAAGAGAAGAAGGAGAGGAAGAUGAGCAGGGGAGGAAGAAGAGGCUGUGGCCGUGGCUGAGGCUGCGACUGCAGCAGUGCAGCUGGGAAAGAAGAGAAGGAAAGGAAGAAGAAGAGAAAGGAAAAGGGAAGAAGAGAGGAAGAGGAGAAGGGGAGGCAGCUGUGGCAGUGGCAGUGGCAGUGGCAGCUGCAGCUGGAAGAGAAGGAGAGGAAAUAGAGCAGGGGAGGAAGAAGAGGCUGCGGUUGUGGUGGCUGCGGCCAUGGCUGCGACUGCCGCAAUUGCAGCUGGGAAAGAAAGGAAAGGAAAGGGGAAAAAAGGGGCUGUGGACGGGAUUGCGGCCGCAGUGGCAGAGACUGCGUAUGCAGCAGCUGUGUCUGCGAAAGAAGGGGAGGAAGUAGUGCAGUGGAAGGGGCUGCGGUUGUGACAGCAGCUGCGGUCGUGGCUACGACUGUGGUAGUGGCAGUGGCGAUGGCUGCGAUAGCUGCGUUUGAAAAAGAAAACGAAGGAAUGAGAGUAAGAGAGAGCAGGUGACUAUGCCUCUAUGUUCUGCAUGAGCUACAAUUGUGGCGGAAAAAGAGAAGACAUAUGUAGAACACGGAACAGGGAGGACACGUAGGAAAAGUAGAAGGAUUUGGGCUGGCACCUUCUUUGGAUCUUCGGAUCGAAAUAUUUGAAAGAGCCGACCUAGCACUUGGGUAGGGUGAGAGGGCUCGAGUAGGAAAGGGCUACCCGUGGAUGGAGUCGAGAACUCAUCACGGCAUGGAGCCACCACUGAGUUAAACCUCACAUGCACUAUGCCAGGGUACGACGUCUGAGCUUCUAUUUCGUAUUCGUUCUUUGAUAUGCUUUGAAAUGGUCCAUAUGUCAUUGAUAUGUUCCGAAAUGUUUCAUUUGUCAUUGAUAUGCUCCGAAACAUUUCAUACGCCUUUGAUAUGCUCCGAAAUGUUUCAUUUGUUAUUGUUACGCUUCAAAAUGUUCCAUAUGUCAUUGAUAUGCUCCGGAACAUUUCAUACGCUUUUGAUAUGCUCUAGUUACUUUGUGCUCCA